AGUCGAACGGUGAACACGGAGCUUGCUCUGUGGGAUCAGUGGCGAACGGGUGAGUAACACGUGAGCAACCUGCCCCUGACUCUGGGAUAAGCGCUGGAAACGGCGUCUAAUACUGGAUAUGUGACGUGAUCGCAUGGUCUGCGUCUGGAAAGAAUUUCGGUUGGGGAUGGGCUCGCGGCCUAUCAGCUUGUUGGUGAGGUAAUGGCUCACCAAGGCGUCGACGGGUAGCCGGCCUGAAAGGGUGACCGGCCACACUGGGACUGAGACACGGCCCACACUCCUACGGGAGGCAGCAGUGGGGAAUAUUGCACAAUGGGCGCAAGCCUGAUGCAGCAACGCCGCGUGAGGGAUGACGGCCUUCGGGUUGUAAACCUCUUUUAGCAGGGAAGAAGCGAAAGUGACGGUACCUGCAGAAAAAGCGCCGGCUAACUACGUGCCAGCAGCCGCGGUAAUACGUAGGGCGCAAGCGUUAUCCGGAAUUAUUGGGCGUAAAGAGCUCGUAGGCGGUUUGUCGCGUCUGCUGUGAAAUCCGGAGGCUCAACCUCCGGCCUGCAGUGGGUACGGGCAGACUAGAGUGCGGUAGGGGAGAUUGGAAUUCCUGGUGUAGCGGUGGAAUGCGCAGAUAUCAGGAGGAACACCGAUGGCGAAGGCAGAUCUCUGGGCCGUAACUGACGCUGAGGAGCGAAAGGGUGGGGAGCAAACAGGCUUAGAUACCCUGGUAGUCCACCCCGUAAACGUUGGGAACUAGUUGUGGGGUCCAUUCCACGGAUUCCGUGACGCAGCUAACGCAUUAAGUUCCCCGCCUGGGGAGUACGGCCGCAAGGCUAAAACUCAAAGGAAUUGACGGGGACCCCGCACAAGCGGCGGAGCAUGCGGAUUAAUUCGAUGCAACGCGAAGAACCUUACCAAGGCUUGACAUAUACGAGAACGGGCCAGAAAUGGUCAACUCUUUGGACACUCGUAAACAGGUGGUGCAUGGUUGUCGUCAGCUCGUGUCGUGAGAUGUUGGGUUAAGUCCCGCAACGAGCGCAACCCUCGUUUUAUGUUGCCAGCACGUAAUGGUGGGAACUCAUGGGAUACUGCCGGGGUCAACUCGGAGGAAGGUGGGGAUGACGUCAAAUCAUCAUGCCCCUUAUGUCUUGGGCUUCACGCAUGCUACAAUGGCCGGUACAAAGGGCUGCAAUACCGCGAGGUGGAGCGAAUCCCAAAAAGCCGGUCCCAGUUCGGAUUGAGGUCUGCAACUCGACCUCAGAAGUCGGAGUCGCUAGUAAUCGCAGAUCAGC
rnacentral:rRNA from 2 species